AGGGCGCACGGUGGAUGCCUUGGCACUAGAAGCCGAUGAAGGACGUUACUAACGACGAUAUGCUUUGGGGAGCUGUAAGUAAGCUUUGAUCCAGAGAUUUCCGAAUGGGGAAACCCAGCAUGAGUUAUGUCAUGUUAUCGAUAUGUGAAUACAUAGCAUAUCAGAAGGCACACCCGGAGAACUGAAACAUCUUAGUACCCGGAGGAAGAGAAAGAAAAUUCGAUUCCCUUAGUAGCGGCGAGCGAAACGGGAAGAGCCCAAACCAACAAGCUUGCUUGUUGGGGUUGUAGGACACUCUAUACGGAGUUACAAAGGACGACAUUAGACGAAUCAUCUGGAAAGAUGAAUCAAAGAAGGUAAUAAUCCUGUAGUCGAAAAUGUUGUCUCUCUUGAGUGGAUCCUGAGUACGACGGAGCACGUGAAAUUCCGUCGGAAUCUGGGAGGACCAUCUCCUAAGGCUAAAUACUCUCUAGUGACCGAUAGUGAACCAGUACCGUGAGGGAAAGGUGAAAAGCACCCCGGAAGGGGAGUGAAAUAGAACCUGAAACCGUGUGCUUACAAGUAGUCAGAGCCCGUUAAUGGGUGAUGGCGUGCCUUUUGUAGAAUGAACCGGCGAGUUACGAUUUGAUGCAAGGUUAAGCAGUAAAUGUGGAGCCGUAGCGAAAGCGAGUCUGAAUAGGGCGUUUAGUAUUUGGUCGUAGACCCGAAACCAGGUGAUCUACCCUUGGUCAGGUUGAAGUUCAGGUAACACUGAAUGGAGGACCGAACCGACUUACGUUGAAAAGUGAGCGGAUGAACUGAGGGUAGCGGAGAAAUUCCAAUCGAACCUGGAGAUAGCUGGUUCUCUCCGAAAUAGCUUUAGGGCUAGCCUCAAGUGAUGAUUAUUGGAGGUAGAGCACUGUUUGGACGAGGGGCCCCUCUCGGGUUACCGAAUUCAGACAAACUCCGAAUGCCAAUUAAUUUAACUUGGGAGUCAGAACAUGGGUGAUAAGGUCCGUGUUCGAAAGGGAAACAGCCCAGACCACCAGCUAAGGUCCCAAAAUAUAUGUUAAGUGGAAAAGGAUGUGGCGUUGCCCAGACAACUAGGAUGUUGGCUUAGAAGCAGCCAUCAUUUAAAGAGUGCGUAAUAGCUCACUAGUCGAGUGACACUGCGCCGAAAAUGUACCGGGGCUAAACAUAUUACCGAAGCUGUGGAUUGUCCUUUGGACAAUGGUAGGAGAGCGUUCUAAGGGCGUUGAAGCAUGAUCGUAAGGACAUGUGGAGCGCUUAGAAGUGAGAAUGCCGGUGUGAGUAGCGAAAGACGGGUGAGAAUCCCGUCCACCGAUUGACUAAGGUUUCCAGAGGAAGGCUCGUCCGCUCUGGGUUAGUCGGGUCCUAAGCUGAGGCCGACAGGCGUAGGCGAUGGAUAACAGGUUGAUAUUCCUGUACCACCUAUAAUCGUUUUAAUCGAUGGGGGGACGCAGUAGGAUAGGCGAAGCGUGCGAUUGGAUUGCACGUCUAAGCAGUAAGGCUGAGUAUUAGGCAAAUCCGGUACUCGUUAAGGCUGAGCUGUGAUGGGGAGAAGACAUUGUGUCUUCGAGUCGUUGAUUUCACACUGCCGAGAAAAGCCUCUAGAUAGAAAAUAGGUGCCCGUACCGCAAACCGACACAGGUAGUCAAGAUGAGAAUUCUAAGGUGAGCGAGCGAACUCUCGUUAAGGAACUCGGCAAAAUGACCCCGUAACUUCGGGAGAAGGGGUGCUCUUUAGGGUUAACGCCCAGAAGAGCCGCAGUGAAUAGGCCCAAGCGACUGUUUAUCAAAAACACAGGUCUCUGCUAAACCGUAAGGUGAUGUAUAGGGGCUGACGCCUGCCCGGUGCUGGAAGGUUAAGAGGAGUGGUUAGCUUCUGCGAAGCUACGAAUCGAAGCCCCAGUAAACGGCGGCCGUAACUAUAACGGUCCUAAGGUAGCGAAAUUCCUUGUCGGGUAAGUUCCGACCCGCACGAAAGGCGUAACGAUUUGGGCACUGUCUCAACGAGAGACUCGGUGAAAUCAUAGUACCUGUGAAGAUGCAGGUUACCCGCGACAGGACGGAAAGACCCCGUGGAGCUUUACUGUAGCCUGAUAUUGAAAUUCGGCACAGCUUGUACAGGAUAGGUAGGAGCCUUUGAAACGUGAGCGCUAGCUUACGUGGAGGCGCUGGUGGGAUACUACCCUAGCUGUGUUGGCUUUCUAACCCGCACCACUUAUCGUGGUGGGAGACAGUGUCAGGCGGGCAGUUUGACUGGGGCGGUCGCCUCCUAAAAGGUAACGGAGGCGCUCAAAGGUUCCCUCAGAAUGGUUGGAAAUCAUUCAUAGAGUGUAAAGGCAUAAGGGAGCUUGACUGCGAGACCUACAAGUCGAGCAGGGUCGAAAGACGGACUUAGUGAUCCGGUGGU
rnacentral:rRNA from 1 species